AGAGUUUGAUCCUGGCUCAGAUUGAACGCUGGCGGCAUGCCUUACACAUGCAAGUCGAACGGCAGCACGGGGGCAACCCUGGUGGCGAGUGGCGAACGGGUGAGUAACACAUCGGAACGUGUCCUAUUGUGGGGGAUAACUAGUCGAAAGAUUAGCUAAUACCGCAUAAGCUCGGAAGAGGAAAGCAGGGGACUCGCAAGGGCCUUGCGCGAUUGGAGCGGCCGAUGUCCGAUUAGCUAGUUGGUGGGGUAAAGGCCUACCAAGGCGACGAUCGGUAGCUGGUCUGAGAGGAUGAUCAGCCACACUGGGACUGAGACACGGCCCAGACUCCUACGGGAGGCAGCAGUGGGGAAUUUUGGACAAUGGGGGCAACCCUGGUCCAGCCAUGCCGCGUGAGUGAAGAAGGCCUUCGGGUUGUAAAGCUCUUUCGGUGGGAACGAAACGGUCCGUGCUAACAGCAUGGGCUACUGACGGUACCUACAGAAGAAGCACCGGCUAACUACGUGCCAGCAGCCGCGGUAAUACGUAGGGUGCGAGCG
rnacentral:rRNA from 1 species